GCCAUAGGAUUGCCAAUUGGGCAUUAACUCAAGUGUGAGUAUGACUAGUCUCAAGUCAUUUAGUGUUGGACACUGAGACAAACACAUAGGUGCUCGAAAGGUAAUAGAGUACACUGAACAACGAUAAAAAAGGAGUUCGAACAUACAUGUCAUGUAAGAACUCGUAAGUUGCAAUAUGCAAAAUAGUCCUUUGACCUUAGGCAUCAUAGAUGUCUAAUGGUUGGGUCCUUGAUCUUUGAUCAUGUUAAAGGCAUUCUAUUGAGAAUGUCCACGACAUUGUUGGGGUCAAGCUAUCUAGUCAUGUAGGCAUAUGAAUGUAGUUUCAAUUCACAAUCAAUCGUUAAGAGUAACAAUCGCCCACUGCCUCGCUGAUUGGAAACUAAUGGAUCGUACAUCGAGUAAGGAUGAAAGUGAUGAAAUAUAUAUUAGAUGGAUAAGUAAUCAAAUAGUUUAAUUGAGAAUGAUCAAGAUUAAUUAAUUAGUUAAUUAAUCUUACGAAAGGUUUGUAUUAGGCUUUUAAGUUGGUUUUGGGUUU
rnacentral:lncRNA from 1 species